rnacentral:lncRNA from 1 species
CUUUGAUUUUUUGAAGUGUGAUGUUUUUAUAAGUGAAUAUGCUAUGCUAUUGAGCAUUUUUCUUUCAGGAGCAAUCUUCCAUUUUGACUGGUAUUGAUUGAAAACUAGUUCUUUGCUUACACAUUUACAUGGUGACAAUUGGAUUUUUUUUUUUUUUUUUUUACGAUUAGAUUCUGGUUUCCUGUGCUUCAAACUUGGUUUCUCCUUCAUCCUGGAUACUUCCAGAGCCGGGGACCACUCAUAUGAUAAUGCCAGGGACAUGGAUGAAUCUGGAGAUCAUCCUCAGCAAACUGACACAAGAACAGAAAAUGAAACACUGCAUAUUCUCACUCAUAGGCGGGUGAUGAAAAAUGAGAACACAUGGACACAGAAAGGGGAGUACUAAACACUGGGGUCUAUUAAGAGGAAAAGGGGAGGGCCAGUGGGAGGGGGAGGUGGGGAGAGAUAGCUUGGGGAGAAAUACCAAAUGUGGGUGAAGGGGAGAAGGAAAGCAAAGCACACUGCCAUGUGUGUACCUACGCAACUGUCUUGCAUGCUCUGCUCAUGUACCCCAAAACCUAAAAUCCAAUAAAAAAUUUAAAAAAAAAAAAAAAAAAAAGGAAAAAAAAAUUCUUAACCAUUUUUUGUACCAAAGAUGCCUUUGGCGGUCUGACAAAGACCAUGGGUCCCCUUCGUAGGACAAUGUUUGUAAAUACAUAAAAGAUGCAGGACUGCAAUUCUAUUAAAAUAAGUUCUCAAACAUGUUUAAAAGUUGGGGCAUCUCAUAUAUGGGCCUCUUGUUGAAGUCAUUAAGUAUCGGGAUCUCAUGGUGGGUUUAAUAAUGAGCGCAGGCAUAUUUUGUUUUACUAAGGUUUUCUUUAUUGUGCUUUUUACAAAUUGAAGGUGUGUGGUAACCCUGUGUUGAGCAAGUCCAU